GGGGGGGGCAAGCGUUUGUUCGGAUUUACUGGGCGUAAAGGGCUCGUAGGCGGCCACCUAUGUCGGUUGUGAAAUCCCUCGGCUCAACCGGGGAACUGCGACCGAAACUGGGUGGCUAGAAGCCGGGAGAGGGAUGCGGAAUUCCAGGUGUAGCGGUGAAAUGCGUAGAUAUCUGGAGGAACACCCGUGGCGAAGGCGGCAUCCUGGACCGGUCUUGACGCUGAGGAGCGAAAGCUAGGGUAGCAAACGGGAUUAGAUACCCCGGUAGUCCUAGCCCUAAACGAUGAAUGCUUGGUGUGGCGGGUAUCGAUCCCCUGCCCGUGCCGCAGCUAACGCGUUAAGCAUUCCGCCUGGGGAGUACGGUCGCAAGGCUG
rnacentral:rRNA from 1 species